AUUCGCCCUUAGAGUUUGAUUCUCGCUCAGGAUGAACGCUGGCGGCGUGCUUAACACAUGCAAGUCGAACGAAGCACUUGGAACAGAUUACUUCGGUUUGAAGUUCCAUUUGACUGAGUGGCGGACGGGUGAGUAACGCGUGGGUAACCUGCCUCAUACAGGGGGAUAACAGUUAGAAAUGACUGCUAAUACCGCAUAAGCGCACGGAAUCGCAUGGUUUUGUGUGAAAAACUCCGGUGGUAUGAGAUGGACCCGCGUCUGAUUAGCUUGUUGGCGGGGUAACGGCCCACCAAGGCGACGAUCAGUAGCCGGCCUGAGAGGGUGAACGGCCACAUUGGGACUGAGACACGGCCCAAACUCCUACGGGAGGCAGCAGUGGGGAAUAUUGCACAAUGGGGGGAACCCUGAUGCAGCGACGCCGCGUGAAGGAAGAAGUAUUUCGGUAUGUAAACUUCUAUCAGCAGGGAAGAAAAUGACGGUACCUGACUAAGAAGCCCCGGCUAACUACGUGCCAGCAGCCGCGGUAAUACGUAGGGGGCAAGCGUUAUCCGGAUUUACUGGGUGUAAAGGGAGCGUANGCGGUUUGGCAAGUCAGAAGUGAAAGCCCGGGGCUCAACUCCGGGACUGCUUUUGAAACUGUUAGACUAGAUUGCAGGAGAGGUAAGUGGAAUUCCUAGUGUAGCGGUGAAAUGCGUAGAUAUU
rnacentral:rRNA from 1 species